GCAUGGCUGUAAACUUUGAUGAAUAAUUACAUUAUCAUUCGCCAGGGUACUACGAGCACCAGCUUAAAACCCAAAGGACUUGGCGGUGCUUUAGACCCACCUAGAGGAGCCUGUUCUAGAACCGAUAACCCCCGUUAAACCUCACCCUCUCUAGUUCAUUCCGCCUAUAUACCGCCGUCGUCAGCUUACCCUGUGAAGGGCUAAUAGUAAGCAAAACCAGUAAUACUCAAAACGUCAGGUCGAGGUGUAGCAUAUGAGAGGGGAAGAAAUGGGCUACAUUCCUUGCUUCAAGGAAAACGGAUAAUAUAAUGAAAUAUAUAUUAGAAGGAGGAUUUAGCAGUAAGCAGCAAAUAGAGAGUUCUGCUGAAACUGGCCCUGAAGCGCGC
rnacentral:rRNA from 1 species